rnacentral:lncRNA from 1 species
AGACAAGCUCCCUGCAUGAUUGGCUUCAAAGUGUCUGGUGCCAAACAACUAACAGAGGCGCAAAAAGUAGAAGCCGUGCAUUUACAGCCCAGCGAAAGGGAGGCAGACAGAACGCGAGCUACCCGGGGCUCCUCAGAUGCUGGAGUCUCUCUCUACCUUUGCACGGCUCUCUCGACGUCUUAGGAGCAUUUAAGCAUGCCAGCCCAGGAGAUCAGAGACACUCAGCCCAGCUGAAAACAAGUGAGAGAGAACAAUUAGAGAGGGGGCUCAAUUCUCAAAAGUGAGCCCGCUCCUUGAUCUGCAAAGCGGAAGCAGCCGCAGCAGCUGUGAGCAAGAAAAAGGUGAAAUUUACCAAGAAAGAACUCGUCUCUAUUCCAGUCUAUUGAAUCCCAGUCAUGGCAUCCGUCUUGGGAAACAACAGAGGGUCUGGAGGGCUAAGUAGUCAACUCAAAUGCAAGUCGAAAAGGAGGAGGAGAAGAAGAUCAAAGAGAAAAGGCUGGCUCCCAGGGAAAUACCAUGCCAGUGUUCCACAGAUUUCACUGGAUACCAGUCAGUUUCUUCUGGCAUCCUGACCAUUUUUGGAGAUGGAGAUACACAUGCUGUAUUUGACCAUCUGUGCAUCCUACCUUCUCAUAUGACAAAGGCAGAACAAUUAUUGAAAGAGAUGGUGAUGUGGGUGAAUGUUAUUAUUCAGAUUAUAUUGGCUCCUGGCAUAAUAGAUAAGGCUACUGGGUUUGAUAUCAGGAUGACCAGGGUGUAA